UGCAUUAUCAAUAAGCGGAGGAAAAGAAACCAACAGGGAUUGCCUUAGUAGCGGCGAGUGAAGCGGCAAAAGCUCAAAUUUGAAAUCUGGCACCUUCGGUGUCCGAGUUGUAAUUUGAAGAUUGUAACCUUGGGGUUGGCUCUUGUCUAUGUUUCUUGGAACAGGACGUCACAGAGGGUGAGAAUCCCGUGCGAUGAGAUGCCCAAUCCUAUGUAAGGUGCUUUCGAAGAGUCGAGUUGUUUGGGAAUGCAGCUCUAAGUGGGUGGUAAAUUCCAUCUAAAGCUAAAUAUUGGCGAGAGACCGAUAGCGAACAAGUACAGUGAUGGAAAGAUGAAAAGAACUUUGAAAAGAGAGUGAAAAAGUACGUGAAAUUGUUGAAAGGGAAGGGUUUGAGAUCAGACUCGAUAUUUUGUGAGCCUUGCCUUCGUGGCGGGGUGACCCGCAGCUUAUCGGGCCAGCAUCGGUUUGGGCGGUAGGAUAAUGGCGUAGGAAUGUGACUUUGCUUCGGUGAAGUGUUAUAGCCUGCGUUGAUGCUGCCUGCCUAGACCGAGGACUGCGAUUUUAUCAAGGAUGCUGGCAUAAUGAUCCCAAACCGCCCGUCUUGAAACACGGACCA
rnacentral:rRNA from 1 species